UCAAAUCGGGACCUUGCAGUUCAAGCAUUUGUGUUAUGUCGUAGACCCCAGAAUAACCGCUCCAACCGACGGUAUACUAGGUCGCGAUAUAAUAAUGCAAUACCGCUUAAUGAUUUCACUGCACGAUUCUAGGGUAGUCUUAGCAAACGGCACGAAGUUAAACUUUGAAGGCAAGGUUUGUGACACAGCCGAGGUAAAGAGCGCUUCUCCGCCGAAAGCCGGCGUUAGCUCAGAGAACAAACCGGGUAGGAAACGACUCAUCUCUCCAGACCAGUUGCCGAUGAGUAGCCGCCAAACUGGCGCGAUAACAGUUUAUUUGCUGGAGGACCAGACC
rnacentral:lncRNA from 1 species